GACGAACGCUGGCGGCGUGCUUAACACAUGCAAGUCGAGCGGUAAGGCCCUUUCGGGGGUACACGAGCGGCGAACGGGUGAGUAACACGUGGGUGACCUGCCCUCAGCUCUGGGAUAAGCCUGGGAAACCGGGUCUAAUACCGGAUAUGACUCCAUGACGCAUGUUGUGGGGUGGAAAGCCUUGUGCGGCUGAGGAUGGGCCCGCGGCCUAUCAGCUUGUUGGUGGGGUGAUGGCCUACCAAGGCGACGACGGUAGCCGGCCUGAGAGGGCGACCGGCCACACUGGGACUGAGACACGGCCCAGACUCCUACGGGAGGCAGCAGUGGGGAAUCUUGCGCAAUGGGCGAAAGCCUGACGCAGCGACGCCGCGUGAGGGAUGACGGCCU
rnacentral:rRNA from 1 species